CAAUAGCGUAUAUUAAAGUUGUUGCAGUUAAAAAGCUCGUAGUUGAAUUUCUGGAUGUGAAAGGUGGUCGGCACCUCACGGUGUCUGCACCUACCAUUCGCGUCCAUCCUCGGGAGGAACAUGUGGACACUUUAGUGGGUCUGCAUGGGAAUCUCGUCAUUUACUGUGAGCAAAAUAGAGUGUUCAAAGCAGGCUUACGCCGUUGAAUAUAUUAGCAUGGAAUAAUAAGAUACGACUUUGGUCUAUUUUGUUGGUUUGCAUUCCAAAGUAAUGAUUAAUAGGGAUAGUUGGGGGUAUUCGUAUUCAAUUGUCAGAGGUGAAAUUCUUGGAUUUAUGGAAGACGAACUACUGCGAAAGCAUUUACCAAGGAUGUUUUCAUUAA
rnacentral:rRNA from 1 species